GAUGAACGCUGGCGGCGUGCCUAAUACAUGCAAGUCGAGCGGACGGACGAGAAGCUUGCUUUUCUGAUGUUAGCGGCGGACGGGUGAGUAACACGUGGAUCACCUACCUAUCAGACUGGUAUCACUUCGGGAAACCGGAGCUAAUACCGGAUAAUAUUUUGCACCGCAUGGUUCAAAAGUGAAAGUCGGUCUUGCUGUCACUUAUAGCUGGAUACGAGCUGCAUUAGCUAGUUGGUAAGGUCACGGCUUACCAAGGCAACGAUGCAUAGCCGAGCUGAGAGGCGGAUCGGCCACAUGAGAACGGAGACACGGACCAUGCGCCUACGAGAGGCAGCAGUAGGGAAUCGUACGCAAUAGGCGAGAGCCUGACGGAGCAGCGGCGCGUGAGUGAUGAAAGUCCUCGGAGCGUAAAACUCGGUUAUUAGGGAAGAACAGAUGUGGAAGGAACUGUGCACAGCGUGACGGUACCGAAUCAGAAAGCCACGGCUAACUACGUG
rnacentral:rRNA from 1 species